rnacentral:rRNA from 1 species
UACGUAGGGUGCAAGCGUUGUCCGGAAUUAUUGGGCGUAAAGAGCUCGUAGGCGGUUCGUCGCGUCGGCUGUGAAAACCCGGAGCUCAACUCCGGGCCUGCAGUCGAUACGGGCGGACUAGAGUUCGGCAGGGGAGACUGGAAUUCCUGGUGUAGCGGUGAAAUGCGCAGAUAUCAGGAGGAACACCGGUGGCGAAGGCGGGUCUCUGGGCCGAUACUGACGCUGAGGAGCGAAAGCGUGGGUAGCAAACAGG